UUUGAGCAAAGUAUGCACAACGUUUUCAAAUCUGGGAACUAAUUAAUUGUGUGAACAAUUUUUUUGUGUGCACACACAGUAGCAUUUCAAGUGAUUAAUGCCUUGUUAUAGGGUGCCACAAAAAAUGUGCCACAAAAAUAAAGCCAUAGAAAAUCUGUACACUUUUGGAUACUGACACCUAUCCAUAUCUCAGGGAAUUUGAUCUCUGGUGUUCAU